AGAUGAUGUCAAUAACACGGGAGAGUCUUUUCACCCCAAAUAACAACAGCCACCACUUUGUUAUUCCCCGCCGAUGAAUCGGAGGGGAUAUUGAAAUGGCGUUGUUCGUCCGUCCGUAUGUCCGUCCGCUGCCAUUUCUCUAACUAGCAGGUAAAAUUUCAUAAAACUUGAAAUAUUGAUCAGGUCGGAUAUCCGGGCACUUCACCGAUUACGUUGCAUAGCAACAAGAGCGAGGUGAAAGUAGACGCAAUUUUGUAAAGAGAAUGCAUUGUGUCUGGAACAACUGAGUUAGACCUUCCUGAUUUAUGACACAAGUGUGCUCUACAACAUGGACUUUGAUGAUGAAAUCUUGGCACAUUCAUGGCCUUUCUUCAGAGACUGCUGGUCAGCCAAAGAUCUGUCAGGUGAUCUGUGGAAUAAAUGAGGAAAAGCUUGAACUUGUUCAUAUGAGGACUUGGUUUAUAGAAGAUGUGGUAUGAGAAAUAUAUGUGAAUAUGUGGUUUGAAUAGGAGGUUCUUACAGAAGCAAAAUCAUUUUGUUGUAUCAGUUAUCAAGGAGGACAUAUCUAACCUUCAGGUUUUGUAAAAUAUAAUUCUUCCACCACCAUCAAAAGACAAGACAUGGUAAUUUAUGUAAAAAAUAUUGAAAACAGAACACUACCUAUCAAAAAGCUACUGUUAGUUUAGUUCCAGGAAGAGACAUUGUCCAGUUAAAAAAUGGCAACGACUCGGAAGCUAUAAAUUCCUAUGAAGAUGCUGACAAAUACUCCGAGUGAUAAUUUGUUAAUGUAUAAUACUAAAGGAACAGUGGUUAGGUUAAUACAGUUACAUGACAGAUGAGUGAUGAAUGUAUAUGAGAGUAUCGGGAAUGGAAGUUGACAGAAAUUUACAAACUGUAUGUAUUUGUUAUCAACAAACUCAUUUCUGUGAAGGCAAAGAGUAUGCAACAGAUCUUAAGAAUAGAGAAAUUUGCUUACAGUGUAAAGGAUAUGGAGUUGUGAGGCAUCUUUAGCAUAUCUGAUGGGACAAAAAGACAGUCACAGAAAUUUGUUGAUCAGGUAAAAGUUGUGUGCGACAGAUGGAAGUAGGAAAUUUGCAAAUGGGGUAAUGGAAAACUUUAUGAAUGAAAGAAUGGAUUCGGAAAAUGUGAUAAAUUGUAUAUGAAGGUUCUACAAAACAGACUGGUUGUCAUCAUCAACAGGAAGACCAUCAGAUAAUAAAACAAUGCUUCAGGGUUGACUGUUCCAGUUUUACAGCAGGAAAAUGCUUCAGGUAGGAAUGUUCCAGAAAUUAAAGACAAGAAAAGACAAGAGUAAAGUGUGUAAAUUAUAGGCUACAUUGUGCCCAGAAUGCUGAAGAUCUGUAAGUAAUACAUGCUCUAGUCUUAUUUGAAUUUUUUUCUUGCAGUUGCCAGUGUUUUCAGCCAGGGUAUAAAUAUGAACUUUGUGUUGUAAAUGAAAUCAGUACAAGCUGCAUUUAUACAGUAGAUUAGAGCCGCGCCAUGGGAAAACAAACUUAGUGGCUUUGCGACCAGCAUGGAUCCAGACCAGCCUGCGCAUCCGCGCAGUCUGGUCGGGAUCCAUGCUGUUCGCUUUCAAAGCCUAUUGGAAUAAAAGAAACUGUUAGCGAAUAGCAUGGAUCCUGACCAGACUGCGUGGAUGCGCAGGCUGGUCUAGAUCCAUGCUGGUUGCAAAGCCAUUAUGUUGGUUUUCUCAUGGCACAGCUCAUUUAUUUGUUUAUUGAUUAAUACAAGUCAGAUACCUUGGUAUAUACACCGAGUGCCUUGUUGUAAAGAUUUGGGUUUUUAAAAAAGUCAUAAAUACAGGAAAUAAAGCAUUACACUGUAGAUAAUAAAACUGAUACAGAUCCCUGUGGCUGUGUAUGUUUGAAACGGCAUGAAGUCAUUUCUGUGACUGACGUACAUUUCAUUUAGAUGCACUUCUAUAAGAAAAACAGUAUUUAAAGAAAGUCAGAUUUAUAUGUUUUUGAAUUUUAGUGUGCAAAAAAAAAAAAGAAUCUAGUUUUAAGCCUUAGGAAGUUAGUAGAUGUAGAUGGAAAUACCCAGCUCUCGGGUAACUGUCCGUAAAGUACAGCAGAGUAGUGUUUCUGCCUAAAUAGUUACCUUCAAGCCCGAUACUCCCAUCAACACUAGAACAAGAAUUUUGUUCUGUAUGUAUAUCAUGUAUAAAUAUACUCUUAGACUUUUAUAAUCGGUCACUGUUGUAAUUGUGAUAACUUGGAUAAUAUUUAAAUUACACAACUAAAAGUUUCUCGAUCACCUUUCUUCCCAUAUGCACUUUAUCAUGAGGAUAAUUUUUCAUUAACUGUGCAUGGUAUACUUUAUUGUUUUAUUUUCAGCAUAGUCUUAACAAAAUACAUAAAAAUCAUAGGUGACCAAUUAUAAAUGUCUAUGAGUGUACGUAUAUAGUGUGAUGGGGAGUACUAAAUGGACAACUAAACAUGAAUCUCAUCGAGUUUAUUUAACAGGUUUAGACAUUUUUAGCUUGGCCAUUCAAAGAAGAGGGGAGCUGUCCUACUCGCCCCGGCGUCGGUGUGAGCGUGAGCGUCAAAAAUGUUAAAAUAGAGAAAAGUGGAAACUUCGCAGGUUGCUCAACACGACAGAAAUGAAAAUGUUGCAGGCCCGGUUUGAUUGAGCCUGUUCGUGGACGGUAGUGGAAAUGCAUGCUACCGUCCACGCUCUCUAGCCCCGGGUUGAGCAGAACUCAACAUUUACACAUGCUAAAAGUAGAAAAAGCAAUUUAGAGACAUCUGCCCCAAAUAUUUUCAAAGUCCAUUGAGAUAUUGCUUUCAUAUUUUGCAUACUUGUUUACCAUCAUGACCCCAGUCUGUAAAAAGGAGGAGGCAACUCUAUCGAGCAUUUUGACUGAAUUAUGGCCCCUUUUCGACUUAGAAUAAAUGUUAAAGUUUGUGUACCACCCCAAAUAUUUUCAAAGUCCAUUGAGAUAUUGCUUUCAUAUUUUGCAUACUUGUUUACCAUCAUGACUCCAGUCUGUAAAAAGGAGGAGGCAACUCUAUCAAGCAUUUUGACUGAAUUAUGGCCCCUUUUCAACUUAGAAUAAAUGUUAAAGUUUGCAUACCACCCCAAAUAUUUUCAAAGUCCAUUGAGAUAUUGCUUUCAUAUUUUGCAUACUCGUUUACCAUCAUGACCUCAGUCUGUAAAAAGGAGGAGGCAGCUCUAUCAAGCAUUUUGACUGAAUUAUGGCCCCUUUUCAACUUAGAAUAAAUGUUAAAGUUUGCGUACCACCCAAAAUAUUUUCAAAGUCCAUUGAGAUAUUGCUUUCAUAUUUUGCAUGCUCGUUAACCAUCAUUACCCCAGUCUGUAAAAAGGAGGAGGCAACUCUGUCAAGCAUUUUGACUGAAUUAUGGCCCCUUUUCGACUUAGAAUAAAUGUUAAAGUUUGCGUACCACCCCAAAUAUUUUCAAAGUCCAUUGAGAUAUUGCUUUGAUAUUUUGCAUACUUGUUAACCAUCAUGACCCCAGUCUGUAAAAAGGAGGAGGCAACUCUAUCAAGCAUUUUGACUGAAUUAUGGCCCCUUUUUGACUUAGAAUUUGCUUAUUGUAAUGUUAAAGUUUUACUCAUUGCUUAUAUUAUACUAUCCAGCACUGAGAAUAGUCAAGCGCACUGUCCACUGACAGCUCUUGUUUUCAUUCUUGCUAUUGAUAUAAGUUGAAUACUGUGAAAACAUGUUCUUACAAGUUGUCUCAUGGCUGUUCUGUUUGCAUUGCUAUAUUAUAUUGCUUUGGUAGUAUAUAAUCUUUAUGCGGCAACAUGUUUCACAGAUGCUGAUAAUUAUUGCAAGCUGAUGAACUUAUAAAGCAAGUAAGAAUUGACAUGAACAGUUUGGGUCAAAAAUAAAUGUUUAGGAAAUUGUUUUAGUAUCAUAUUGCUGAAAUGCUUUGAAAAUAUAACAAAUGAUAUAUAAGAUUUUGCAAGUUUAAACAUGUUAAAGCUGGCUGCAGUUAUAACAGCUUGGCAAUCCAUUCAACUUUCUGUGGCAUUAAUUUUAAGAUCUUGCAAGAAUACAAAAUUAAAUGUACUGUGUACAUAUCUUUCUACAGGGUUACAGGAAUAUGACAUUGAAAAAUUACUGUUAUAUUAUCAAAGCAUUUGGUGUGAUUUUGUCAGAUCGUUAUAAUAGCAGUUUUACCACAUAAAUGAUCAAAUUUUAUGUUUUGAUUUAAUUAAGUCUUACUUUCACAAAUUUGUAAUUUUUUAUGACCAAUAACUGAAUAAGCAUUCGCUUAGAAACACUUCUGUAGUAUGCCUUAGCAUUGUUGUGUGAAAUAACCCUUGAAUGAAGUGAACUGGUACCAGUGAAAUUGCGACAGUUUUCAUGUGCUCAUUUAAAGACUUCAGUACAGUUUUGUCAAACAGUCUUUUGUACAAAAUCUUACAGAACAUGUUAUUAAUAAAAGAAAAAAAUCUA